rnacentral:rRNA from 1 species
GAUGAACGCUGGCGGCGUGCUUAACACAUGCAAGUCGAACGAAGCACUUGAAACGGAUUCUUCGGAUGAAGUUUCCUGUGACUGAGUGGCGGACGGGUGAGUAACGCGUGGGUAACCUGCCUCAUACAGGGGGAUAACAGUUAGAAAUGGCUGCUAAUACCGCAUAAGCGCACAGCAUCGCAUGAUGCAGUGUGAAAAACCCCGGUGGUAUGAGAUGGACCCGCGUUGGAUUAGCUAGUUGGCAGGGUAACGGCCUACCAAGGCGACGAUCCAUAGCCGGCCUGAGAGGGUGGACGGCCACAUUGGGACUGAGACACGGCCCAGACUCCUACGGGAGGCAGCAGUGGGGAAUAUUGCACAAUGGGGGAAACCCUGAUGCAGCGACGCCGCGUGAGCGAAGAAGUAUUUCGGUAUGUAAAGCUCUAUCAGCAGGGAAGAAAAUGACGGUACCUGACUAAGAAGCCCCGGCUAACUACGUGCCAGCCGCCGCAGUAA